rnacentral:lncRNA from 1 species
UACAUUUUUUGUGAACAAUUUAUAUAGGGCUUCUUUGGUACUAAGGGAGCGAUAUAUUUUUUAUUCCUUUAGCUUUAGUGGCAAUGUUGCAAGUAACAUUUUUGUUGAUUGUGUUUUCUUUAUUGUGUUGAAUUUUUAAAUUAGUUUGUUUUUGUAUGAAUUUGUUAUUGAACCUGGAUUUUAUUUUUUGUAUAGCUUUCGCCUGUUGAAUGAUUUAGCUUAGUGGUCCCCAAUUUAGAGGUUAUUUUCUCAAGAUUCUUAAAUUGGCUUUCUUUAAAGUUGAGGUCAAAGAAAAUUGAGUCAUUGUUCCACAAGAAUAAUGUAAGUAACUUUACAUGUUCAUAUUGGUUAUUAAUUUAAGUUAAGUUCAUAUGUAUUUGUUUUGAUGAUUUGGGGUUAUGAAAAUAAUUGUAUGUUUUUUAUGGUGUUAGAUAUGUUGGGG